rnacentral:rRNA from 1 species
UGGGGAGUACGGCCGCAAGGCUAAAACUCAAAGGAAUUGACGGGGGCCCGCACAAGCGGCGGAGCAUGCGGAUUAAUUCGAUGCAACGCGAAGAACCUUACCAAGGCUUGACAUAUACGAGAACGCACUAGAGAUAGUGAACUCUUUGGACACUCGUAUACAGGUGGUGCAUGGUUGUCGUCAGCUCGUGUCGUGAGAUGUUGGGUUAAGUCCCGCAACGAGCGCAACCCUCGUUCUAUGUUGCCAGCACGUAAUGGUGGGAACUCAUGGGAUACUGCCGGGGUCAACUCGGAGGAAGGUGGGGACGACGUCAAAUCAUCAUGCCCCUUAUGUCUUGGGCUUCACGCAUGCUACAAUGGCCGAUACAAAGGGCUGCAAUACCGUAAGGUGGAGCGAAUCCCAAAAAGUCGGUCCCAGUUCGGAUUGAGGUCUGCAACUCGACCUCAUGAAGUCGGAGUCGCUAGUAAUCGCAGAUCAGCAACGCUGCGGUGAAUACGUUCCCGGGCCUUGUACACACCGCCCGUCAAGUCAUGAAAGUCGGUAACACCCGAAGCCAGUGGCCUAACCCUUGUGGAAGGAGCUGUCUAAGGUGGGAUUGGUAAUUA